rnacentral:rRNA from 1 species
UACAGAGGUGGCAAGCGUUGUUCGGAAUUACUGGGCGUAAAGGGCGAGUAGGUGGCCAUCUAAGUCAGACGUGAAAUCCCCCGGCUUAACCUGGGAACUGCGUCUGAUACUGGACGGCUUGAGUAUGGGAGAGGAACGUAGAAUUCCAGGUGUAGCGGUGAAAUGCGCAGAUAUCAGGAGGAACACCGGUGGCGAAGGCGGGUCUCUGGGCAGUAACUGACGCUGAGGAGCGAAAGCGUGGGGAGCGAACAGG